UACGUAGGCAGCAAGCGUUGUUCGGAGUUACUGGGCGUAAAGGGUGCGUAGGCUGUUUCGUAAGUAUGGUGUGAAAUCUCCCGGCUUAACUGGGAGGGUGCGCUAUAAACUGCGCGACUAGAGUGUGGGAGAGGAAAGUGGAAUUCCUGGUGUAGCGGUGAAAUGCGUAGAUAUCAGGAGGAACACCGGUGGUGUAAACGGCUUUCUGGACCAUAACUGACGCUGAGGCACGAAAGCGUGGGUAGCAAACAGG
rnacentral:rRNA from 1 species